rnacentral:rRNA from 1 species
AUUGAACGCUGGCGGAAUGCUUUACACAUGCAAGUCGAGCGGCAGCGCGGCCUUCGGGCUGGCGGCGAGCGGCGAACGGGUGAGUAAUGCAUCGGAACAUGCCCAGUCGUGGGGGAUAACACUUCGAAAGAAGUGCUAAUACCGCAUACGUCCUGAGGGGGAAAGCGGGGGAUCGCAAGACCUCGCGCGAUUGGAGUGGCCGAUGUCAGAUUAGCUAGUUGGUGGGGUAAAGGCCUACCAAGGCGACGAUCUGUAGCUGGUCUGAGAGGAUGAUCAGCCACACUGGGACUGAGACACGGCCCAGACUCCUACGGGAGGCAGCAGUGGGGAAUUUUGGAUAAUGGGGGCAACCCUGAUCCAGCCAUUCCGCGUGAGUGAAGAAGGCCUUCGGGUUGUAAAGCUCUUUCGGCAGGAACGAAACGGUGGGCUCUAACAUAGUCCGCUAAUGACGGUACCUGAAGAAGAAGCACCGGCUAACUACGUG